rnacentral:lncRNA from 1 species
CCCCCGGCCUCCCCUCGCCCGGCCUCCCUGCCUCCCGUCCCCGGGUCGAAGCGCUUGAGCGAGCGGCGGCGGCCGGUAGCUCCGGGACCGCGCGCCGGGGCCACGUCCGAGCUCGAGCCGCCUCCUCUCCGGCCCGCGCGGGCUGUGCUCAGGGCGGGCAAGGUUGAUCAUCUUGGCCCUGGGAGUGGAGAUUAUCUCCACAGAAAGGAGUCUUUUAUUCCAUUAAACAAUGGAUUCCUGAGUGUUCCCUGUACCCUGGGAUAUGCAUCUUUCAAGAUGAUGUGGUGCUGAGUAAAAC